ACGGAUGAUAAUUUCUCCAAAGGGCUUUCACAUCUAGACUCUUUAGUUCUUCCAACAGUUCUAUAAGGGAAGUAGGACUUGAUAAUGUCUUGAUUUCAUGGAAAGAGACAGAGGUAGAGAGUUAAGCAAUACAGGAGUUCCUGUCAUGGCUCAGUGGUUAAUGAACCUGACUAGUAUCCAUAAGGACGAAGGUUCGAUCCCUGGCCUCACUCAGUGGGUUGGGGAUUUAGCAUUGCUGUGAGCUGUGGUGUAGGUUGCAGAUGUGGCUUGGAUCCUGCAUUGCUGUGGUGUAGGCCAGCAGCUGUAGCUCAGAUUCUACCUCUAACCUGGGAAUCUCCAUGUGCCCUAAAAAGACAAAAAGACAAAAGAAAAAAAAAAAAAAAGAAAAAAGAAAGUUAAGAAAUACAUUUGUAGGUGAUGGUAGAGUCAAGUCUGGGACCCAGCAUUUGGCCUGUAGCCCUGCAUGUAGUCUGCCCCAUCACAUGCACCCACUCAGUAAGGCUCUGCAACCCUGUCUAGGAGUACUCACUAAGUAGCUGACUCUUAAAACUCAUCCAGUUUCUUUUCUGUUUGGUAGUCUGCACGUCACCUUUCUAAACUUUCCUGAAUCAGAUAUUCAAUGUUGGCCACUUGGCUUGAAGGGCUGUGUUUCAUUUUUCCAAUGUCUCAAUUUUAUUCAUUUAGCUGAUAUCCAGCUCUCCUUAUCCAUAUUUUAUCCACAUUAGCACCAUCUCGUAUGUCUGGGCUCUCAUUUAAUAUGCACAGCCAGUUGUGGUCUGCAUGUUGAUGAUUCGAAGGGUGUCUUCCUUCAAGCUUCCUGUCCUCCCAUUCUGGAUACUUUUGCUGGUCCUGUGGCCUGUCUCUGGUUCUUGUCAAUGUGCUUACAGAGGAGUCCUAUACAUUUUGUGUAAAUGUGACCUUUGCAAUGUUUUUGAAUUAGCUUCUUUUACUAAUGAAGAGUGAUGCCUCUUGCUUGUGAAAUAGUAUGUUGGCCUGUUCAUCCCCUUGAAAAGGGCUAUUUAUACAAAGGAGAACAUUUACUUAAAACACUGAAUUUUGAAUAUAGAAGUGUUUUUGGAGGCUAAUUCCAAGCUUUCACUUUGUUCUUGAGAAUACUCAGAUUGAAGCCUAGGAAUUUCCUAAUUCCUAUUUUAAUUCCUACCAUCUAUCCCUUUCUCUCUUCUCUACAUUAUUUUUGUUUCCACAAAAUAGUGUAUUUCAGGAUAGAAAUUAAAAAUUAGAGUUUAACAUCAUUAUCCCUUAACCUUUUAUUGUGUGUGUUGCUAUGAAUGAUGGUGCUUGAUCCUGAAUUUGCCUGUCCAGUCACUUAGAAGCCAUAGGCAGAGAGUUAAGAAUCUCAUAGGUGAAAAGGAAAGUUUUCAGUGUGGUUAACAGGAUAUGAGGGCUUGGGGUGACAUCCAGUCAGAGGGAUCUCAUCCUUGACCUUCCGUCAGAAAAGGGCAACCGUCACUUUCUCCUCUCACCUGUUUUCCCAUCACCCCCUGCAUAUCGGAGCUGUGCAGAUGCAUUACUCUGAAUCACAAAAAGAAUAUAUUUGACAAAGGGUCUUCUGUUGCCACCACCUGUAUUGCUUCAGGCCAAGAGGAGAUUUUGGCAUUGGGUCCUUAGUGAGGUCUGCCUGAAGCUGAAACAACACAAAAUUCAUGAAGUUUCAUCAAACAUCUAGUAAAAUCAUUGAAUAAAAACAAAAUUGGCUGAAUCUAUUAGUAUUGGAAACGACUGGUCAUUUGAAUCAGCACCCUCAGUCUGGCAGUUUUGUGCUGAUAUAAUGCAUGCAGAACACCACCCCUGGCCUUUCCCUCGCACAGCUUUGAUGAAGUAAUACAAGAGUGUUCACAUACACCGGCAGAGAAGUUUUGCAGGGAAAUUUUUUUUCUAAGUAAUUCUUUCUUUCUGGUGGAAAUUUUCUUCUCUAAAGAGAUAAAGUUAAGAGGGGAAAUCUCUGAUGGGGUUGGGCCAGGUGGGGCUAUGUAUGUGCCUGGCCAGGGGUGAGGUAGGUAAAGUUCAGACAGUGGUGCUUUUGUAUUGCCAGUGAUUCAGACACCUUAGGCCACUUAGAAACGUUGACUGUAUGGCUGGGUUACCAGCUUGUAACUACUUAGUGAAUCAUUAGUUCAGCUAAAUGAAAUGGACUGGUGAUGGAUAUAGGCAUAGCCAAGGCCCCCUAUUUUUGACGUUUUAUGGACGAAGCAGGUCUAGACUUUGUUCCUUCCCUGUGGUCUUCAAAUCUAAAACACCUAAGCUGACUGAGUGCAAUUACGUAAAUGCAGUCUAGUUGUCUCUGUAAGCUCCAAGACCAUUACUUUCUCUACCUGUUAAAAAUAUUAUUAUUUUGAUUUUGAAAUAAUUUAAAAUUUAUGGAAAGAGUUCAAUUUUUUUUCUCUCUCCUCCCUUCAAAAUUUCGGUGGGUUUUCUUAAAAAUAAGGUCAUUCUCUGACAGUAACCAUAGUACACCAGAUAAAUAUUUGGGGUCUCAUCAAAGUUUUCCUAUAAAUUUUAGCAUCCAUUCACGAUCCUUGCCCUAUGCAUUUUUGAAUGACCAAUCUAAUGAAUAUCUACUCUGUUUUAACAAUUGGACAGAUACAUAGAUCACUAUAACUCAGUUUCUAACCUCAGUCUUUUAGAAAAAACAGACAUGUAGACAAAUACAUUAUAGUCAGAGCGACGAGUGCAAGAAGGACAGCAAGACGGUGGUUCAGAAGCAGUAAAGACAGACUCUGCCUAAGGAAGGAGGUCAGGGAGGACCUCACAGGAGAAGCAGUUCCUGGAAGGGCUGUCUCCAAUUAGAGCUGAGGACAUUUUCUGGACCCUAUACAUCAUUAGGGGGAUAUGAAGUCCUAGCUGCUCUAAAUGUAAGACAUCCCUACUGCCUGUGUUUUUUUAAUCUCAGUGUUCUCAAUCAUUUUGACCUUCACAGUAGAAAAUACACAUUGUAACUUACAUGCAUGCACACACGCACACACGGAGUCAGAGAAAUACAGUCUCUUAACUUUACUACUUGUGAUGCAUUCUUAUAUUUUCUAUUCUAUUCUUUUGUACUCUAUUUAUAAAUGCAGAACUAAUACAUCCAAUAUGUGGGAAUGAGGAUGUGGAAUCUACAUUUCUGACAAAUUCUCUGUGCUGUUCUGAUACUAACCAAGGGUACUGGCUUAGGAAAAGGCGGAACGUAUUCUAAGACAACAAGAGUGGCCCCAGGUAGCUCUGUUUAAUAGACAAAUCAGGGAUCUCAAAGUUUGCCCAGGGAGAAGCCCUGCUCUAGUUGAUAGGUACUCAGAGGGUUCAUUUUCUGACCUACAGCUAGUGGCACAAAGAAGAGAACUAAUGCCAAGAUUUCUCGAAAACAGGUCCAUAUGUUUUAGUGGGUCAAUGGCAGAUACUGGUGAGAACUUUUCAGAAAUGAUGGGAGAAUUCUCCCAAAAGAGGGGGAAGGUUGCCGUGGUGAAGUGAUUCAUUCCAUUCUGCUAACGCUUUAUCCAUUCCCAUCACAUUAUUGUAGAUACUUAAGCUGCUGUGUUGAAAGCCAUCUGGAACUCGGAAUAAAGACUAUGCAUUCCAUGGGCUCUGAAAAGGGAUUUCUUGUCCCUGUAUAGAAUGCUUAAAAAUGUGAACCUUUGAUAAAGUGUUGGCUUACCUCCAAUAGGCAGAUACUUUCUCUGUAACACACUUGGCCCAGAAUAAGGUCUUCCAAAUUCCUGUAAACCAGAUUUUUAAAACAAUUUUAAGGACAGGACCCCAAAGGACCAUAAAAAGGGUUAUUGGAAAGUAAUGGAGAAGUUAACCUAGCAGUCAAGGAGAAGGUUGGGCUCUUCCAGAGAGUGCAUCAUGUAAAGAAGGCAAAAGAUGAGAUACCACCUUGUGCUUGAGUAUCAAAUUUUGAAAAUUGUAGCAGGAGAUGUUUCUGGAGAUCAUGGAGGUGUUUUAAAAUCUUGCUAAAAGUACUUUAAAUUUUAUCUUAUAGUGAGAGUGAAUUGAGGGUAUUAGAUAGGAAACAGAUGUGGUCAUUCAUUGACUCCAAAAAUGGAAGCUACCACAUACCAUUCAGAGAGGGGGAUACAAAGAAGGAAAGAUCAGUUAGGUGGUUAUUUCGGUGGCUUCAAUAGGAGAUGCCAAAGAGCUGAAAGCUAAUGUUACAGUGGGGAUGAUGUCCUAUCUUCCAAGCAUCCUUCUCCCACUCUGGUGACUAUAAGCUAUGAAGGAAGGGACUUGAUUUUUCUCUCUUCUCAAUUUUCAGCACAUAGAUACUUGCAUGGUAUGUAGCAAUCCAUCAAUGAAAACUUAUUUAAUAUCUAUAGAAGUUUAUCAUAUGAUUUGAACAACUGAUUAAUUAUAUGGGGAAACAUACCAUCCAGAAUAAUCAUUUGGCCCAAAUAAGAAGUUCUUAAUCCUGGUUCCUUCUUAAAAACACUGAAGGGUAUUUUCUCAAUGUAGGAUAGCCCACUCUUCACAGAUCCUUCUCAUUGCAACUAAAAAGCACAAUAAGGAGGUGCAGGAGAGCAGUGAAUUUCCUGGGUUUCUUUACUGCCUGCCAUAUCCUAAACUCCCAAGAGGCACAGGCUAAAAAUACUCUGAGAAAAGACACCUCCCCUGACCAAAGAACUGAUAAAAAGAUGACUUAGCAAUAGGAAACCUUAUUGGCAAUAUCACCUAUUCCAAUCAAAUACUAGUGUUAAAAUUCUCCUCAGCUCUGCUCCUUUAUUUCACCUGACCCAGUAAGAAGUUGAUUUUCCACCUCUGUGGGUGAAAGCAUGGAUGCACUGGAAGUAGUACCCCUGGAAACAGAGAACUAACGCCUUUCUCCAUCUGGCAGAAAUGGACAGUGCUCUGAUGCCCCUGCCAGGAUGGUAUUGACAAGGUGCAGCAGCAUCUCCACCUCAACCCAGCAAUAAGGAGGCAGAAGGAGGUGGUGGUGAGAAGUAGGGGAGUUAACAAUCUGUUUCACCUCCCUCUCCUUGUGUCAGAGAAAACUUGGGAGAAACUGAGUCUCCACCUUUGCCCUGCAGUAAACUGGUAUGAGUAAGCCCUCUGCUUCCUGCCUCCCUGGUGUCAGCAGGACCAAUGGAGGAGACAACAAGGUGGUUUAAGUCAGUGCCUCACUUUUGCUGGGAUGGCAUGGGAUGGCAUCAUAGGGCCAUGCCAGAAGAUGAAUGGACACACCCAGCUAGCUCUCAAGCUAUAUCUCAACAAGGAAUUAUCUGCCAAAAAAAGAUUAAAAAGGAUCCACAAAAAAAAAAAAACAACAAAAAGAGUUCCUAUCGUGGCUCAGCAGAAAUGGAUCUGACUAGUAUUCAUGAGGAUGCAAGUUUGAUCCUUGGCCUUGCUGUAAUGGGUUAAGGAUCUGGCAUUGCUGUGAGCUGUGGAAUAGGUUGCAGACUUGGCUCAGACCUGGUGUUGCUGUGGUGUAGGCCAGCAGGUACAGCACUGAUUUGACCCCCAACCUGGGAACUUCCAUAUGCCAUGGGUACAGCCCUAAAAAGGCUCCCCCCCCAAAAAAAAGUCCAGAGUCACAUAAUAUAUAACAUUUCCAGAAUGCAACUGAUAAUCACAUCAUGGGAUAAAGCAAGAAAAUCACAAGAGGAGUGGGAAAAGACAA
rnacentral:lncRNA from 1 species